AAUAGAUACCCAGGUAGUCCACGCCGUAAACGAUGAGUGCUAAGUGUUAGAGGGUUUCCGCCCUUUAGUGCUGCAGCAAACGCAUUAAGCACUCCGCCUGGGGAGUACGGUCGCAAGACUGAAACUCAAAGGAAUUGACGGGGGCCCGCACAAGCGGUGGAGCAUGUGGUUUAAUUCGAAGCAACGCGAAGAACCUUACCAGGUCUUGACAUCCUUAUGCCAUCUCUAGAGAUAGAGCUUUCCCUUCGGGGACAUAAGUGACAGGUGGUGCAUGGUUGUCGUCAGCUCGUGUCGUGAGAUGUUGGGUUAAGUCCCGCAACGAGCGCAACCCUUGAUCUUAGUUGCCAGCAUUCAGUUGGGCACUCUAAGGUGACUGCCGGUGACAAACCGGAGGAAGGUGGGGAUGACGUCAAAUCAUCAUGCCCCUUAUGACCUGGGCUACACACGUGCUACAAUGGAUGGUACAAAGGGCAGCGAAACCGCGAGGUUAAGCCAAUCCCAUAAAACCAUUCUCAGUUCGGAUUGCA
rnacentral:rRNA from 1 species